rnacentral:rRNA from 1 species
AACGAACGCUGGCGGCAGGCCUAACACAUGCAAGUCGAACGGUAACAGGAAACAGCUUGCUGUUUCGCUGACGAGUGGCGGACGGGUGAGUAAUGUCUGGGAAACUGCCUGAUGGAGGGGGAUAACUACUGGAAACGGUAGCUAAUACCGCAUAACGUCGCAAGACCAAAGAGGGGGACCUUCGGGCCUCUUGCCAUCGGAUGUGCCCAGAUGGGAUUAGCUAGUAGGUGGGGUAACGGCUCACCUAGGCGACGAUCCCUAGCUGGUCUGAGAGGAGGACCAGCCACGCUGGAACUGAGACACGGUCCAGACUCCUACGGGAGGCAGCAGUGGGGAAUAUUGCACAAUGGGCGCAAGCCUGAUGCAGCCAUGCCGCGUGUAUGAAGAAGGCCUUCGGGUUGUAAAGUACUUUCAGCGGGGAGGAAGGGAGUAAAGUUAAUACCUUUGCUCAUUGACGUUACCCGCAGAAGAAGCACCGGCUAACUCCGUGCCAGCAGCCGCCGUAA